GGUCAAGCUAUUAAGGGCCCAUGGUGAAUGCCUUGGCGCUGGAAGGCGAUGAAGGACGUAGUAAGCUGCGAUAAGCUUCGGGGAGCGGCAAACACGCUUUGAUCCGGAGAUUUCCGAAUGGGGAAACCCCCGCGGGGUAAUGCCUGCGGACGGCCGCUUGAAUAUAUAGAGCGGUACGAGCGAACGGGGUGAAGUGAAACAUCUCAGUAGCCCCAGGAACAGAAAACAAAUAGUGAUUCCCUCAGUAGUGGCGAGCGAAAGGGGAAUAGCCUAAACCGUCCGGCUUGCCGGACGGGGUUGCGGGACCGCAAUGUGAGAUCCGAAGACGAUAGCGUAAGAGCUCUGGAAAGGGCUUCCAUAGAGGGUGACAGACCCGUGCGCGAAAUCUGAAUCGGCUCUAGCGGUAUCCCAAGUAGAGCGGGACACGUGAAACCUUGCUUGAAUCCGGGAGGCCCACCUCCCAAGGCUAAAUACUAUCCAGUGACCGAUAGUGAACAAGUACCGUGAGGGAAAGGUGAAAAGAACCCCUGUUAGGGGAGUGAAAUAGUACCUGCAACCAUGAGCCUACAAGGUGUCGUAGCCUCCGCAAGGGGGUGGCGGCAUGCCUUUUGCAUAAUGAGUCCGCGAGUUGUUUGGCGCAGCAAGGUUAAGGCGGGCGACCGCCGGAGCCGAAGCGAAAGCGAGUGUGAUAAGCGCGACAAGUUGCGUCGAACAGACCCGAAGCCGUGUGAGCUACCCAUGGCCAGGUUGAAGUCUCCGUAAAAGGGGAUGGAGGACCGAACUAGUGGACGUUGAAAAGUCCUUGGAUGAGCUGUGGGUGGGAGCGAAAGACUUAACAAACUCGGUGAUAGCUGGUUCUCUUCGAAAUAUCUUUAGGGAUAGCCUGCAUAAAUGCAAUCUUCGGAGGUAGAGCACUGAAUGGUCUAGGGUCCUUACCGGGAUACCGAAGCCAAUCAAACUCCGAAUACCGAAGACGUCAUAUGCAGAGUCAGACUGUGGGGGAUAAGCUUCAUAGUCAAGAGGGAAAAAGCCCAGAUCGCCGGCUAAGGCCCCCAAAUCCGGUUAAGUGCGCAAGGAUGUGAGAUUGCAUAUACAGCUGGGAUGUUGGCUUAGAGGCAGCCAUCAUUUAAACAGUGCGUAACAGCUGACCAGUCUAGUGAUCUCGCGCCAUAAAUUAUCGGGACUAAACCGGAUGCCGAAGCCGCGAAUUCCGUCGCAAGACGGAGUGGUAGAAGAGCGUUCCAUGUGGAGUGAAGCUGUGGCGAAAGCCUAGGUGGACCGCAUGGAAGUGAUUAUGCGGACAUGAGUAACGAUUAGCUGGGUGCGAAUCCCAGCCGCCGUAAUCCCAAGGUUUCCUGGGGAAGGUUCGUCCGCCCAGGGUUAGUCGGCCCCUUAGAUCAGGCCGCAAGGCGUAGUCGAUGGGAAACAGGUUAAAUAUUCCUGUACUGCCGGACAUGCGUUACCAGCAAUGGAGUGACGCGGAAGGCUAUGCGAGCCGGAGGAUGGAAAUUCCGGUCCAAGCCCGUAGAGGGUUCCGAUAGGCAAAUCCGUCGGAGCAACUUCGAAAGGCGAUGGGACCCAGAGCCCACGGGCAAUGGGGAUUCGUAGAUGCCAUGCCGCCGAGAAAAACUUCUAGCGAGCAUGUCAGACAACCGUACCAAAACCGACACAGGUGGGAAGGUAGAAUAUACCAAGGCGCGCGAGAGAAACCUCGUUAAGGAACUCGGCAAUCUAGCCCCGUAACUUCGGAAGAAGGGGUCCUUUCUAGAGUCCGAUUAUAUCAAGCUCCGGGAAGGCGCAGUGAAAGAGCUCAGGCAACUGUUUAUCAAAAACACAGCACUCUGCAAACUCGUAAGAGGACGUAUAGGGUGUGACACGUGACCAAUGCGGAAAGGUUAAGGCGAGGGGUCAGCCGCAAGGCGAAGCUCCGACCCGAAGCCCCCGUGAAUGUCGGCCGUAACUAUAACGGUCCUAAGGUAGCGAAAUUCCUUGUCGGGUAAGUUCCGACCUGCACGAAUCGUGUAAUGAUCUGAGCGCUGUCUCAACGAGGAUCUCGGUGAAGUUGUAAUGCCGGUGCAAAUGCCGGCUACCCGCAGUAGGACGGGAAGACCCUGUGAACCUUUACUGUAUUCUGGUAUGGGAUUCUGGCUCAUUACAUGUAGCAUAGCUGGGAGGCGUCGAAGCGGCAUCGUCAGGUGUCGUGGAGCCAUCAGUGAAAUACCAGUUUUAAUGUUCCGGAAUUCUAACCCCAGCCCGUGAUCCGGGCGGAGGACAGUGCCAGAGGGUCAGUUUGACUGGGGCGGUUUCCUCCCAAAUUGUAACGGAGGAGCCCGAAGGUGCCCUCAACACGGUCGGCAAUCGUGUGUAGAGCGUAUAGGUAGAAGGGCGCUUGACUGCGAGACUAACAAGUCGAGCAGGUGCGAAAGCAGGGCUAAGUGAUCCGGUGGUUGCUCGUGGUAGCGCCAUCGCUCAACGGACAAAAGGUACUCCGGGGAUAACAGGCUGAUCGCCGCCAAGAGUCCACAUCGACGCGGCGGUUUGGCACCUCGAUGUCGGCUCAUCGCAUCCUGGGGCUGGAGAAGGUCCCAAGGGUUGGGCUGUUCGCCCAUUAAAGCGGUACGCGAGCUGGGUUCAAAACGUCGUGAGACAGUUUGGUCCUUAUCCACUGUGGGCGUAGGAGAUUUGAGAGGAUAGUUCCUUAGUACGAGAGGACCGGGAACUACGCACCUCUGGUGUUCCGGUUGUCGCGCCAGCGGCAGUGCCGGGUAGCUAUGUGCGGAAAGGAUAAGCGCUGAAAGCAUAUAAGCGCCAAGCCCCCCUCAAGAUAGGAUCUCCCGGAGCGCAAGCUCCCUAAAGGACGGUCGAAGACCACGACCUUGAUAGGCCGGAGGUGUAAGCGCAGCGAUGCGUUGAGCUAACCGGUACUAAUCGUCCGUGCGGCUUGACCUU
rnacentral:rRNA from 1 species